ACUCCUACGGGAGGCAGCAGUGGGGAAUAUUGCACAAUGGGCGCAAGCCUGAUGCAGCCAUGCCGCGUGUGUGAAGAAGGCCUUGGGUUGUAAAGCACUUUCAGUCGUGAGGAAGGUAGUGUAGUUAAUAGCUGCAGUAUUUGACGUUAGCGACAGAAGAAGCACCGGCUAACUCCGUGCCAGCAGCCGCGGUAAUACGGAGGGUGCGAGCGUUAAUCGGAAUUACUGGGCGUAAAGCGCAUGCAGGUGGUUUGUUAAGUCAGAUGUGAAAGCCCGGGGCUCAACCUCGGAAUAGCAUUUGAAACUGGCAGACUAGAGUACUGUAGAGGGGGUAGAAUUUCAGGUGUAGCGGUGAAAUGCGUAGAGAUCUGAAGGAAUACCGGUGGCGAAGGCGGCCCCCCUGGACAGAUAACUGACAACUCAGAGU
rnacentral:rRNA from 1 species